GACUACAUGAAGCUGGAAUCGCUAGUAAUCGCGAAUCAGAAUGUCGCGGUGAAUACGUUCCCGGGUCUUGUACACACCGCCCGUCACACCAUGGGAGUCGGAAAUGCCCGAAGUCAGUGACCCAACCGCAAGGAGGGAGCUGCCGAAGGUGGAGCCGGUAACUGGGGUGAAGUCGUAACAAGGUAGC
rnacentral:rRNA from 1 species